GAUGAAGAACGCAGCGAAAUGCGAUACUUGGUGUGAAUUGCAGAAUCCCGUGAACCAUCGAGUCUUUGAACGCAAGUUGCGCCCGAAGCCACUAGGCCGAGGGCACGCCUGCCUGGGCGUCACACGCCGUUGCCCCCCCAUCUACUCCUUCGGGAUUGCGGGGGGGCGGAUGAUGGCCUCCCGUGCGCCUAGCCGCGCGGUUGGCAUAAAUACCAAGUCCUCGGCGACGCACGCCACGACAAUCGGUGGUUGCGAAACCUCGGUUGCCCGUCGUGUGCGUUCGUCGCGCAUCGAGGGCUCGAAAAAAUGCUCGGCUCCGGCUGGGCUUUCAACGCGACCCCAGGUCAGGCGGGGUUACCCGCUGAAUUUAAGCAUAUCAGUAAGCGGAGGA
rnacentral:misc_RNA from 1 species